CCCCUCUUAGGGUCGCAUCUGGAGAAUUUCCAGUCCUCUACCAGUCUCAGCUAUGGGAGGGAGAGUCAAGCAGAGGCAUACCCAUUCCAUUCCUAGCCUGACCAGUGGCUACAGAGUGGAAGGCAAUUUGCUACAAAU